AUUGAACGCUGGCGGCAUGCUUUACACAUGCAAGUCGAACGGUAACAGGCCGCAAGGUGCUGACGAGUGGCGAACGGGUGAGUAAUGCAUCGGAACGUGCCCAGUCGUGGGGGAUAACGCAGCGAAAGCUGCGCUAAUACCGCAUACGAUCUCUGGAUGAAAGCGGGGGACCGAAAGGCCUCGCGCGAUUGGACCGGCCGAUGUCAGAUUAGGUAGUUGGUGGGGUAAAGGCCCACCAAGCCAACGAUCUGUAGCUGGUCUGAGAGGACGACCAGCCACACUGGGACUGAGACACGGCCCAGACUCCUACGGGAGGCAGCAGUGGGGAAUUUUGGACAAUGGGCGCAAGCCUGAUCCAGCAAUGCCGCGCGCAGGAAGAAGGCCUUCGGGUUGUAAACUGCUUUUGUACGGAACGAAACGGUCCGGGUUAAUACCCUGGGCUAAUGACGGUACCGUAAGAAUAAGCACCGGCUAACUACGUGCCAGCAGCCGCAGUAACAC
rnacentral:rRNA from 1 species